UUCGGUGUCCAAAUGCAUCGGAAUACACAGAGGCAAAGCCACGACAUGAGGACCACGAAACCAAGGUGAGGCUGUUGCAUUCGGGCGAGUCUGCGCGACAAGACAAAGCCCCGUACAACCAAGGGAUGCAGCAGUAUAUUGGUAAGCGUCAAACCGUAAGCGUA
rnacentral:ncRNA from 1 species